UUCAUGCCGCGUGAGUGAAGAAGGCCUUUGGGUUGUAAAGCUCUUUCGGUUGGAAAGAAGGGCUGCAUGGCUAAUAUCCAUGUAGUUUGACGGUACCAAAAGAAGAAGCACCUGCUAACUUCGUGCCAGCAGCAGCGGUAAUACGAAGGGUGCAAGCGUUGUUCGGAAUUACUGGGCGUAAAGGGCGCGUAGGCGGGUUUGUAAGUCGAAUGUGAAAUCCCCGGGCUUAACCUGGGACGUGCAUUCGAUACUGCUAAUCUUGAAUGCUUGAGAGGGUGGUGGAAUUCCUAGUGUAGAAGUGAAAUUCGUAGAUAUUAGGAGGAACACCUGAGGCGAAGGCGGCCACCUGGCAAGACAUUGACGCUAAGGCGCGAAAGUGCGGGGAGCAAACAGGAUUAGAUACCCUGGUAGUCCGCACCAUAAACGAUGGAUACUAGACGUUCGGAGAAUUAACCCUCUGAGUAUCAAAGUUCACACAUUAAGUAUCCCGCCUGGGGAGUACGGNCGCAAGGCUGAAACUCAAAGGAAUUGACGGGGGCCCGCACAAGCGGUGGAGUAUGUGGUUUAAUUCGAAGCAAAGCGCAGAAACUUA
rnacentral:rRNA from 1 species